rnacentral:sRNA from 1 species
UGUCGUCGGCAAACAGCGCCAAUUUCAC